rnacentral:rRNA from 1 species
AACGAACGCUGGCGGCAUGCCUAACACAUGCAAGUCGAACGAGACCGCCCGGUCUAGUGGCGCACGGCUGCGUAACGCGUGGGGACCUGCCCUUAGGUUCGGAGUAACUCCCCGAAGGGGGAGCUCAUAACAGAUAAUGUAUUCGCACCAAGGACUUAUUGCCGUUGGAUGGGCCCGCGUUAGAUUAGCUAGUUGGUAGUGUACAAGCCUACCAAGGCGACGAUGCAUAGCUGGUCGGUGAGGAGGACCAGGCACGCUGGGACUGCGACACGGCCCAGACUCCUACGGGAGGGAGCAGUAUGGAAUACUGGACGCGGGGCGCAAGCCUGAUCCAGCAGUGCGGCGGGAGUGAUGAAGGCCUUAGUGUUGUAAUUUUGUUUUUCCCGGGAUGAUAAUGACGGUACCGGGUGAAGAAGCUCCGGCUAACUCCGUG